CAGGGUGUAGCUACAACACAAAGCAUUCAGCUUACACCUGAAAGAUAUCUGUCACCUCCAGAUCACCCUGA
rnacentral:tRNA from 1 species